GAUGAACGCUGGCGGCGUGCCUAAUACAUGCAAGUCGAGCGAACGGACGAGAAGCUUGCUUUUCUGAUGUUAGCGGCGGACGGGUGAGUAACACGUGGAUAACCUACCUAUAAGACUGGGAUAACUUCGGGAAACCGGAGCUAAUACCGGAUAAUAUUUUGAACCGCAUGGUUCAAAAGUGAAAGACGGUCUUGCUGUCACUUAUAGAUGGAUCCGCGCUGCAUUAGCUAGUUGGUAAGGUAACGGCUUACCAAGGCAACGAUGCAUAGCCGACCUGAGAGGGUGAUCGGCCACACUGGAACUGAGACACGGUCCAGACUCCUACGGGAGGCAGCAGUAGGGAAUCUUCCGCAAUGGGCGAAAGCCUGACGGAGCAACGCCGCGUGAGUGAUGAAGGUCUUCGGAUCGUAAAGCUCUGUUAUUAGGGAAGAACAUAUGUGUAAGUAACUGUGCACAUCUUGACGGUACCUAAUCAGAAAGCAACGGCUAACUACGUG
rnacentral:rRNA from 1 species